rnacentral:rRNA from 1 species
ACGGGUGAGUAACGCGUGGGAAUCUACCCAUCCCUACGGAAUAACGCAUGGAAACGUGUGCUAAUACCGUAUACGCCCUACGGGGGAAAGAUUUAUCGGGGAUGGAUGAGCCCGCGUUGGAUUAGCUAGUUGGUGGGGUGAAGGCCUACCAAGGCGACGAUCCAUAGCUGGUCUGAGAGGAUGAUCAGCCACAUUGGGACUGAGACACGGCCCAAACUCCUACGGGAGGCAGCAGUGGGGAAUAUUGGACAAUGGGCGCAAGCCUGAUCCAGCCAUGCCGCGUGAGUGAUGAAGGCCUUAGGGUUGUAAAGCUCUUUCACCGGAGAAGAUAAUGACGGUAUCCGGAGAAGAAGCCCCGGCUAACUUCGUGCCAGCAGCCGCGGUAAUACGAAGGGGGCUAGCGUUGUUCGGAAUUACUGGGCGUAAAGCGCACGUAGGCGGACUUUUAAGUCAGGGGUGAAAUCCCGGGGCUCAACCUCGGAACUGCCUUUGAUACUGGAAGUCUGGAGUAUGGAAGAGGUGAGUGGA